ACCAGUUCGGUGGCGUAGUUGGUUAGAGCGCGCGAUGGCAAGUAUGACUAGAAAUCUUUCUAACGUAGUUGUGGAUUCGAUUCCCGCCACUGGCA